rnacentral:rRNA from 1 species
UAUCUCUGUAGAGUCUGCACAUCAAUAAGCGGAGGAAAAGAAACUAACAAGGAUUCCCUUAGUAACGGCGAGUGAAGCGGGAAGAGCUCAAAUUUGAAAUCUUCAAGGUUCUACCUUGACGAAUUGUAGUUUAAAGAAGUGUUUUCUGUUAGAUGAGUAGCAAAAGUUCCUUGGAAUGGGACAUCAUAGAGGGUGAGAAUCCCGUAUUUGGUUAUUCAUUCUAGCUUUGUGAUACACUUUCAAAGAGUCGGAUUGUUUGGGAAUGCAGUCCAAAAUGGGUGGUAAAUUUCAUCUAAAGCUAAAUACUGGCGAGAGACCGAUAGCGAACAAGUACCGUGAGGGAAAGAUGAAAAGAACUUUGAAAAGAGAGUUAAACAGUACGUGAAAUUGUCAAAAGGGAAGCGUUUGACACCAGUGUUGUUUUCUCGAAAAUCAAUUAAGAAUGGCAUGAUUUUGUGUUGUAUUGACUUUAUCAGCUUUCUGCACUCUUUUCUAGUCUUUCUUAAUGCACUUUUCGGUUAACAAGUCAACAUCAAUUUCUUUUGUUGUAAAAGAGUCAUUCGGAAGGUGGCUUUCUUUUCGGAGAAAGUGUUUAUAGCCUUAUGCCUCUACAAUCGGAGAGAUUGAGGUCUGCAGCGUAGAUCCUUCGGGGUUAGAUACACUUUGUGCUAAGUUAUAGCCUUUCAUAGACAACUUGUUGACUAUGAUCAGUCAUGUAGGCUUACUCGCUUAGUGCUAUUUUACCUACGCUUAGGAUGUUGAAGAUGUAGCACAUCA